GUUCCCGACUGCCUCGCGCUCUUACACUGACCUUUCCAGAACCGUGGGAAGAACUUUGCCUUCCUGGGGAGGAAGGCUGGCCACGUCUUAGAACGUGGCUUAUGUUUCACAUGAUUCCGGAGCAGUAUGCGAGCUUCUUAGUCCUGUCCUUGAACAAAAUGCCUUUUAUAAUGAAUUUGGAAGAGUUCCCUGAUCUUCUGUUUCUUUUUGUGCAAGUCUGAGUAGGAGUGGCUGCACCAGCUUGCAUUCCCACCAGCAAUGAAAAAGAGAUCCUCUUUCUCAACAUCCUCACCAACAUCUGUUGUUGCCUGAGUUGUUAAUCAAGGCCAUCAGUCAUUCUUUAAGGACAGUCAUGAAGUUUGUUCUCUGUGUUCUCAAGGGAAAUCUAAAAUUUUCAUACAGACUUGCUCAUUGUUAUAUUUACUUUGGCUAGAGCCCCGCGCACCCGUAACCAGAAGCAACCUUUUGUGUGUGUCAACACCGUUCUCCAGAGUUUUAGAAGUAUUAACCCCAUUUAACUCUCACAAGCUCAUUGGAUAAGUACUAUAAUUACACCUCGGAAACUCAUUCACGGAGAGCAACUUGCCCAAUGUGAUGGCGCUAGGAAGCGGCAAGGCUGAUUGGCGAGUCAAGGAAAGGGCUGCGGGAAGCGGUAAUGCUGAGUGUGGAGUCAAAGAGAGGGCUGGGGGUGCUCAGUACCUAGGAAACUGUCAAUCCCGGAUGAGCGACCCUAGCCCGCCUCCAAGCUGGGACUCGCGAUCCGCCCCCAAACGCCAGGAAGCUCUGCCCAGCCAGAGGGAAAUGCAAAUGCCUCUACCCCUUGUCCUCCAUCCACCAUCACUUUUCGCCCUUAACACAUAGGGCUGGGACACCACUGGUCCCUCGCCUAGGCUAAAGAGGCCUAGAGUCGCUGCCAGAACUCAAGUCUCAACACUAUCUGGGGAAUAAUGGCCGCAACCUCCCCUGGAGCGGAAGUUCCUGCGACUCACUUCCCAGAACCCAGAACCACACGUGAGACACACCACCCGCACUGCUGAAGAGGAAGUGUUGUCCACGGCACGGAACUUCUGGACUACACGUCCCAGAAUGCCAAAGCGGUCUAGGGCUACAGCCCCACUUGCCUGGAGUGGAAGUGCUUCCGACUACACCUCCCAGAAUCCUCUGCGGGAUCAUGCUUCCUCCCUACCCUAUUUCUUUUGGUUAAUUAAAUAUUACCUGAGUCACUUCUCCAGCGCUA